rnacentral:lncRNA from 12 species
GCAGGAGCGUGCAGCCGCUCUGGCGCCCGGUGCCGCCCUUGGCCCAGAUUUAAAAUGGGAAGAACGCCGAGAUUUCCUCCCGGAGCUGACUCCAGAGCCGGGGACCAGGCACUGGCACCGCACAGGGACCCGGAAUCCCCGGGGAGCGCGGUGGCACAGCAGCCGGGCCGGAGGGCUCGUCACCUGGGGUUACCUGCUGUCCGGAGCCGGGUCUCGGGGAGAUUUGGGGCCGUGCCAGCGCCGCCGGACGCGUCCCAGUGCCGCUCCCAGGCUCGGCACAAAGUCCACGGCCUGUGGCAGGGGGUAGGGGACAAAUGUCCCCAGGGCAGUGGCGGGGUCAGCACGGCCUGGCUGUGGCUGUGUCACCGCGCCCUUGCCCCGGGCAGGGGUCCCCCCCGGCUCCCGGGGCUCGGGGAUGUGCGGGCGCUCCGGGCUCGGCGGUGCCGCCGGCGCUCGGCUCGGCCCCGCUGGGAUAUCGACUGCCGGGGACAGGAGAGGACGCGGGGUGGCCUGGCGGGGGCCAGGCGGGGGGAGCACGGCUGGAUGCACCACCGUGAACAGCUGCACCUGCGGCUCCGAGCGCUCGGCCCCGCUCCGGGCGGGCGGUGCCGGCAGCUCCCGGCGCAGAGAGAGAGAGAGGGGAGACACCGGGAAUGCCAGGGAUCCCGGCAGCCACUUGAUGUCAGUGUUGGCCCGAUUCUAGUCCCGAUGGCAGCGGGAAAAGGAGCAGAAAAAGGCCAGGAAGGGACAAAGAUUUGGGUCUGGGGGAUCCGUGGAGGGCUGGCAGCACCCACGUCCCUGCGCGAUGUGCCGGGACCGAGCGCUUGGCUGGAGGGUGAAUCCCCCGGGAGCCGCAUUCCCUCUGGACAGAGCAUCACAUCCAUGGGACAUCAACAGCAGGAAAAGCUGCUGCUGGCGCAGGGAUCGACGAACAGAUCAAUCCAUCCUUCGGGACUGUCUCGUUACCGACAGCACUUCAUUUACCGGCUGCUGACCUCGCCCUGUCCUGAACUUUGCUUUCGGGUUAGGGAAGGUGGCCCAUCCAAAAUGUCCAGUGGUGCCUUACCCACCACGGACACCCUCUCCUCAUGCCUUAUAAAAUUAAUUCAUUAAUCUCAUUCAUUAAUCAUUAGUAGUCACACCCAAGCAGCCAUGUGUUCCUGUUUUGGGAAUCCAGUUGUCCCCACUUGCCCAGGGGACCUUCUAG